rnacentral:rRNA from 1 species
UGCGCAGGCGGGCUUGUAAGUCAGUGGUGAAAUACUGCCGCUUAACGGUAGAACUGCCAUUGAUACUGCAAGUCUUGAAUAUGGUUGAGGUAGGCGGAAUGUGUUGUGUAGCGGUGAAAUGCAUAGAUGUGACACAGAACGCCAAUUGCGAAGGCAGCUUACUAAGCCAUUAUUGACGCUGAGGCACGAAAGCGUGGGGAGCGAACAGGAUUAGAUACCCUGGUAGUCC